AACGAACGCUGGCGGCAGGCCUAACACAUGCAAGUCGAACGCUGCAGCAAUGCAGAGUGGCAGACGGGUGAGUAACGCGUGGGAACCUUCCCAAUGGUACGGAAUAGCCCAGGGAAACUUGGGGUAAUACCGUAUAAGCCCCAUGGGGGAAAGAUUUAUCGCCAUUGGAUGGGCCCGCGUCGGAUUAGUUAGUUGGUGAGGUAACGGCUCACCAAGGCGACGAUCCGUAGCUGGUUUGAGAGAAUGACCAGCCACACUGGCCUGAGACACGGCCCAGACUCCUACGGGAGGCAGCAGUGGGGAAUCUUGGACAAUGGGCGAAAGCCUGAUCCAGCCAUGCCGCGUGAGUGACGAAGGCCUUAGGGUUGUAAAGCUCUUUUGGCGGGGACGAUAAUGACGGUACCCGCAGAAUAAGUCCCGGCUAACUUCGUGCCAGCAGCCGCAGUAA
rnacentral:rRNA from 1 species